GUGAUGAGCUUCUUUCAGACUCCUUCCCCUACAAGGAACUCUUGAAUGGGAUCCUAUGAGAAGUUGAAGGAAAGAAUCUGAUCAAAUUGGGCCAUAAUCUGAAGAAAUGUGUUUAAGCUACGACAAGGUAUGAUAAAAAAAUAUAAAAGCUGCUCUUCCUGUCUUUUGUUCGCUUCACGUAUCUUCGCUAAAUCAAUAUGUUGGAAGGUUUG